rnacentral:lncRNA from 13 species
GCUUGAAUGUUGAUUAAAUCUUUAGGUGGUUGUUAAAUUUUGUGUUAAUUUGCAGGAUUUCAUUAUUUUCAAGACUUCUUAAAUUUAUGUUGUGAUUUCUGAAUCAAAAUAACAGCUGGUCUGAAAAACUUCAAGGACACUCAGCAAUAGUUUCUAUCAAGAAACAAAAUCUUUACUAGUAAAAUUUUCAGCCAACUCAGUUAAAAAUACCAGGUGGCACUAUUGAAAAGAUGCGUAUGGAGAAAUUGAGAGAACAUGAAUGAAAACUGGAUGGCAAGAUACCAGGAAAAAAUAGAAUAAAUGAUCUGGACUAACUUGGAGAAAGAGGCCUUGGCCGAGAAUGCACUGGUUGGAGGACUUGAAGUGUCCGAAUCUUUUGGCAUUUAUACUUAUACAUUAUUAAAAAGGGCAUUUUAA